rnacentral:rRNA from 1 species
GGAAGUAAAAAAAUCGUAACAAGGUCUCCGUUGGUGAACCAGCG